rnacentral:rRNA from 1 species
UGGAGCAUGUGGUUAAUUCGAAGCAACGACGAAGAACCUUACCAGGUCUUGACAUCCCGAUGCUAUUUCUAGAGAUAGAAAGUUACUUCGGUACAUCGGUGACAGGUGGUGCAUGGUUGUCGUCAGCUCGUGUCGUGAGAUGUUGGGUUAAGUCCCGGCAACGAGCGCAACCCCUAUCUUUAAUUGCCAUCAUUCAGUUGGGCACUUUAAAGAGACUGCCGGUGUUAAACCGGAGGAAGGUGGGAUGACGUCAAGUCCUCAUGGCCUUUAUGCCUAGGGCUACACACGUGCUACAAUGGGUGGUACAAAGAGCAGCCAACUCGCGAGAGCGCGCUAAUCUCAAAAAGCCAUCCUCAGUUCGGAUUGGAGUCUGCAACUCGACUCCAUGAAGUUGGAAUCGCUAGUAAUCGCGGAUCAGCAUGCCGCGGUGAAUACGUUCCCGGGCCUU